rnacentral:rRNA from 1 species
GACGAACGCUGGCGGCGUGCCUAAUACAUGCAAGUAGAACGCACAGUUUAUACCGUAGCUUGCUACACCAUAGACUGUGAGUUGCGAACGGGUGAGUAACGCGUAGGUAACCUGCCUGGUAGCGGGGGAUAACUAUUGGAAACGAUAGCUAAUACCAUAAUAUUAAUUAUUGCAUGAUAAUUAAUUGAAAGGUGCAAUUGCACCACUACCAGAUGGACCUGCGUUGUAUUAGCUAGUAGGUGAGGUAACGGCUCACCUAGGCGACGAUACAUAGCCGACCUGAGAGGGUGAUCGGCCACACUGGGACUGAGACACGGCCCAGACUCCUACGGGAGGCAGCAGUAGGGAAUCUUCGGCAAUGGACGAAAGUCUGACCGAGCAACGCCGCGUGAGUGAAGAAGGUUUUCGGAUCGUAAAGCUCUGUUGUAAGAGAAGAACGGGUGUGAGAGUGGAAAGUUCACACUGUGACGGUAUCUUACCAGAAAGGGACGGCUAACUACGUG